UACGUAGGGUGCAAGCGUUAAUCGGAAUUACUGGGAGUAAAGCGUGCGCAGGCGGUUUUGUAAGUCUGAUGUGAAAUCCCCGGGCUCAACCUGGGAAUUGCAUUGGAGACUGCAAGGCUAGAAUCUGGCAGAGGGGGGUAGAAUUCCGCGUGUAGCAGUGAAAUGCGUAGAGAUGUGGAGGAACACCGAUGGCGAAGGCAGCCACCUGGGUCAAGAUUGACGCUCAUGCACGAAAGCGUGGGGAGCAAACAGG
rnacentral:rRNA from 1 species